rnacentral:rRNA from 1 species
GACGAACGCUGGCGGCGUGCUUAACACAUGCAAGUCGAACGGAAAGGCCCUGCUUUUGUGGGGUGCUCGAGUGGCGAACGGGUGAGUAACACGUGAGUAACCUGCCCUUGACUUUGGGAUAACUUCAGGAAACUGGUGCUAAUACCGGAUAGGAGCUCCUGCUGCAUGGUGGGGGUUGGAAAGUUUCGGCGGUUGGGGAUGGACUCGCGGCUUAUCAGCUUGUUGGUGGGGUAGUGGCUUACCAAGGCUUCGACGGGUAGCCGGCCUGAGAGGGUGACCGGCCACAUUGGGCCUGAGAUACGGCCCAGACUCCUACGGGAGGCAGCAGUGGGGAAUAUUGCACAAUGGGCGGAAGCCUGAUGCAGCAACGCCGCGUGCGGGAUGACGGCCUUCGGGUUGUAAACCGCUUUCGCCUGUGACGAAGCGUGAGUGACGGUAAUGGGUAAAGAAGCACCGGCUAACUACGUG